rnacentral:rRNA from 1 species
GACGUAGGGCGCGAGCGUUGUCCGGAUUUAUUGGGCGUAAAGAGCGCGCAGGCGGUCGUUCAAGUCGCGUGUGAAAGCCCCCGGCUCAACUGGGGAGGGUCACGCGAUACUGAUCGACUCGAAGGCAGGAGAGGGAAGUGGAAUUCCCGGUGUAGUGGUGAAAUGCGUAGAUAUCGGGAGGAACACCAGUGGCGAAGGCGACUUCCUGGCCUGUUCUUGACGCUGAGGCGCGAAAGCUAGGGGAGCAAGCGGG